AUUUUAGUAGAGAAAUUAAAUAUGACAAUAGAAUAGAAAUAAUUUUCUUUUACUCUUGUACGGCACUUUGAGGCGGACCUUUUGCUGAAGUCUGGUAGUUGCUUUCAGUCCAAAAUGGCAGAAGUGUAGCUUUGCUGCUGAGCGCUGAUG